AAGACCUUGCGUUUUUGGAUAGGCCGAUGUCUGAUUAGCUAGUUGGUAGGGUAAUGGCCUACCAAGGCUUCGAUCAGUAGCUGGUCUGAGAGGACGGCCAGCCACACUGGGACUGAGACACGGCCCAGWCUCCUACGGGAGGCAGCAGUGGGGAAUUUUGGACAAUGGGCGCAAGCCUGAUCCAGCCAUGCCGCGUGAAUGAAGAAGGCCUUCGGGUUGUAAAGCUCUUUCAGCCGAGAAGAAAAGAUUGCGACUAAUAAUCGCRAUUCAUGACGGUACCGGCAGAAGAAGCACCGGCUAACUACGUGCCAGCAGCCGCGGUAAUACGUAGGGUGCGAGCGUUAAUCGGAAUUACUGGGCGUAAAGGGUGCGCAGGCGGUUUUGUAAGUCAGAUGUGAAAUCCCCGGGCUUAACCUGGGAACU
rnacentral:rRNA from 1 species